AUUGAACGCUGGCGGCAGGCCUAACACAUGCAAGUCGAGCGAGCGGCGGACGGGUGAGUAAUGUCUGGGAAACUGCCUGAUGGAGGGGGAUACCUACUGGAAACGGUAGCUAAUACCGCAUCCCAUCAGAUGUGCCCAGAUGGGAUUAGCUAGUAGGUGGGGUAACGGCUCACCUAGGCAACGAUCCCUAGCUGGUCUGAGAGGAUGACCAGCCACACUGGAACUGAGACACGGGCCAGACUCUUACGGGAGGCAGAAGUGGGGAAUAUUGCACAAUGGGCGCAAGCCUGAUACAGCCAUGCCGCGUGUGUGAAGAAGGCCUUCGGGUUGUAAAGUACUUUCAGCGGGGAGGCGUUACCCGCAGAAGAAGCACCGGCUAACUCCGUGCCAGCAGCCGCGGUAAUAC
rnacentral:rRNA from 1 species